UACGAAGGGUGCUAGCGUUGUUCGGAAUCACUGGGCGUAAAGCGCGCGUAGGCGGGUCCUUAAGUCAGGGGUGAAAUCCUGGAGCUCAACUCCAGAACUGCCUUUGAUACUGAGGGUCUCGAGUUCGGGAGAGGUGAGUGGAACUGCGAGUGUAGAGGUGAAAUUCGUAGAUAUUCGCAAGAACACCAGUGGCGAAGGCGGCUCACUGGCCCGAUACUGACGCUGAGGUGCGAAAGCGUGGGGAGCAAACAGG
rnacentral:rRNA from 1 species